GUUAGGAAUAUUGGACAAUGGGCGAAAGCCUGAUCCAGCCAUGCCGCGUGAACGAUGAAGGCCUUCGGGUUGUAAAGUUCUUUAGCCGAUGAUUAUAAUGACUGUAGUCGGAAAAUAAGCCCCGGCUAACUUCGUGCCAGCAGCCGCGGUAAUACGAAGUGGGCGAGCGUUAUUCGGAAUCACUGGGCGUAAAGCGUGCGUAGGCGGUUUUGUAAGUUAGGAGUGAAAGCCCAGGGCUCAACCUUGGAAUUGCUCUUAAAACUGCAAGGCUCGAAUCUCGGAGAGGAUAGCGGAAUUUCCAGUGUAGCAGUGAAAUGCGUAGAUAUUGGAAGGAACACCAGUGGCGUAAGCGGCUAUCUGGACGAGUAUUGACGCUGAGGCACGAAAGCGUGGGGAUCAAACAGGAUUAGAUACCCCUGUAGUCC
rnacentral:rRNA from 1 species